ACCAUACUUUAUUAUUAGAAAAUACUGGACUCAAAAUGAGAUCCCUUAACUCAAAAAUCUAUUUUCUUUCUACUAACAAGGCUAAAUAAAGAUGUUGGGCUAUACCAAAAAUUUUAAGGCAUUCCUGUAAUUUACCACACCCUCUUUAUUCUCUGUUCCAGCACUUCUGGAGGGUUCUCUGAGCCCAGAAGCCUACAUAUGUUUGGCAAUCCCAGAUGCACAUUCUUCCUGUCACCAGUGGGGCUGUGAACUGGUUGUUCGGGCUGAAAGAAGAAAAGUUAAAACGCACUUUUAGGUUAAAAGAAAUGCUGUUUGAGUGAUGGAAGAUGGAUUGACAAUGCUUCUUUUCAUAUCCAGAUGGUGUCUAUCUCUGGGUCCAUGGCCUGCUUAUUCAAGGGGGAUUGGAGGAGGUGCGUUUCAUUGCAGAGAUGAACUCAAGUUUGAAUGUUGAUCCGAGAAGCUGAACGCUCAGAGGCUCACAGUGGCUUUACUAGGCCAGGAAGUCAGGACCCUGUCGGCAAAGAGAAAUUGAGAAUAAAGAAACCUCCUGAAUAAUUCAGACGGAGAAUUUGUCAGAAGUGAUCUUUGAGUACAGCUAAGAGAAUGGACUGGAGAGCACCACUGCAGACAAGGAGGCCAGGAGUCUGAACUUAGUAUCCCUGGGCUGAAGUCAAGCAUCCAGCACAUGCCUGGCACAAAUGUUUCUUGACAGAGUAAAUGAAUGAAUAGGUUGCUCCACAUCGUGAGAAGCCCACCAAGAACUGGACGAUCUCUCCAGAGGCAUCAGGACCGAAAAAAGCUUGGUGACCUCAAACUGCCAUGAAGAGGCUCAUGUGACUGAAGGCAACCUCCAGCCAAGUGGUGUGGAACUGGAGCCCUCGGCCCAGUAGUCCAUGAGGAACUGAAUCCUCCAGUAACCAUAGAGAGACAGAGCAUGAGCAGGGGAGGGGCAGAGAGAGAGAGAACGAGGCACAGAAUCCAAAGCAGGCUGCAGGCUCUGAGCUGUCAUCACAGAGCCCAACGCGGGGCUCGAACCCACAAGCCGUGAGAUCAUGACCUGAGCCGAAGUCAGACGCUGAACCGACUGAGCCACCCAGUCAUUAGGUAACUGUGGAGGACACUGCUGGCUGAUUCCAUGCUGAUUCUCUUCUUUCUGCACACUUGUCCUUUGUGGUUCGUUGUGGCACAGGACUGUGUUCUUACCAACGUACUGUGAGAGGAAGUGGAUCCCAACUGGUACGUUAAAAUUCCCCACAAUGCCAUGACUUUGAAUUGACCUUGGUAAUGAGAGGUAAAACUCUAAGAGGCUAGGGCUUAACCUCUGAAUCACUGCUUGGAGGAAAGGCCUGGCCAGUCAGGAACACUUGCUCUGGAUUUCCAGUGAGUAAAACAUGGCUUCUAUCACAUUAAAGCCCUGAGAUUUGGGGGGUUAUCUGUUACUUUAACCAUUACAAGUCAGACAAGUCCUAUAACCUCUCUGAAACUUACCUUAAAACUGAGAGGAAAUACUAAUCAAAUGAUUUCCUAUCAUCCUGAACAACCCGGAAUGCUCCUUCCCAGAUAUCUUUCUGUGCCAUUCCUUUACUUCACACAGACUCUGCUCGUGUAUUGCUGCUUGAGAGGGAAGGCCAUGUCCACUAAGCACAUGCGCACUGGCCUGUGGCUGGUGAGCUGUGGCAGCUCCUCCCUCUCUGUGCCCCAGUCCCCACAGAUUGCACGUGCAUCUGGAGGGGCUGCUGAGGAGAAUAAAGAAGAUGUGGGCCUGUGCAUCUCCAGAAGUUUCACAGUGAGACCAUCCCACUUGCCAUCUCUGUCCAGCCCACCCUCCACGCUGCUGCCGAAGCAAUUUUCUUGGAACGCAAACCCAGUUGCGUCAUUUUCCUCUUAGUGCCCUGCCUCUCCCCCUCUGUCCGGUAAAGGCCAGACUCCUUAUCAUGGUUUAUAAAGCCUUCAUGGCCUGGCUCCUCCUACUUUCCAAGUCUAAUCUGCCAUUCUGUCAAAUACAGCUUUGCUUCCAACCAUUCAAAAUUACACAAAACUCUCCCUGAAAGCGUGGUUUCACAUUAACCCAGGCCUCUUUAUGCACUAUCGCUCUUGCCUGGAAUUUCUUCCCCUCUAUUGUCCAUUCAGUGAACAUCUAGGCAUUCUUAAAGACUAGGUUCAAAUAGACCGGCAUUGUGCAUAACUUCUCAAACCCUCAUGCUCACAGGCUGUCUCCACAGCAGGCCUAUCUCACUGUGCACAUGGGCCUCCAUAUAGCAACAGCCACCCUGUGUGUCAUUCGUUGACUUGUCUCUCUCCCAGGCUGGUUGCUCCCUGAGAGUGGCUACCUGAUCAGACUCCUCUGGAAACCCCAGCACACUCUCAGUGCCACUGUUUGCUGAAUAAUAAGUCUGAGUUGCUUAGAAUCGCACAGUGCCGGGUUGAUGCAUAGUGAGUUCAGUAUUGUUUCCGUUCUGUUAUGGCCUGUGUUCCCCAGAGAAGAUAUGUUGAAGUCCUAGCUCCCAGUACUUCAGAAUGUAAUUUUAUUUGGAAAUAAGGCUGUUGCAGAGGUAAUGAGUUAAGAUGAAGUCAUCCUGGAUGAGGGUGGGCCCCUAAUCCAGUAUGAUUGGUCUCCUUUAAGAAGAGGAGAAAAGACACAGAGAUGGACAUGCACAGGGCCAUUCAGCUCUGCACAGGAGGCAGAGCCUGGAGUGAUGUAUCGGCAGGCGAAGCACGGCAAGGAUUCCUGGGAACAGCAGAAGCUGGAAGAGGCAAGGAAGGAUUCCUCUCUAGAGCCACUGGGGAGAACGUGGUCCUGCUAACACCCUGAUUACAGACUUCUAGCCUCAGAACUGUGAGGCAAAUUUCUGUUAUUUUAAGAUACUUCAUUUGUGAUACUCUUAGGGCAGCCCUGCAGGACAAAUACACUUUCCAUCAGGCCAUAUGAUCACUCCCGGUCCUCACAUUUCAAGAUGACUGCUGAUUGUCUCCCUGUCUUUGCAAAGGAUGAUACCAAGGUCAGUAUGCAGAGGGCAUAAGGACCGUGAAACUCAUAAAGCUUCAAGGGCCCCUCAUUGAUGAGGCCCAUUCCAAAGGCAUAGGAGGGUCUCCAGCUUUGUGUUCACAUGAGUAUAAGUUUUUGUAAAGAUUUUAAAAUAGUAUGUUAACCACAAUCCGUUAAGGCACUGUCUUUUUCCUCUCCCCUUGGGUCAGGUGACUUUAACAUGGUUGUGAACUGUUUGGGAUCCUGCAAAGGGGAUGUAAACUUGGAGAUAACUGAGUUUGGCUUAGUGGGAUAUAUUUAUGUGGUUUUCAGGCGCCUGCACGUGGAGUCAAGUAAGUGUUAGCUCUCCCGCUGUAGAAGGCUUUCCAAAAUUCUCUUCCCACUCA